GGCGGGGACAGGAGGCAGGUUCUGUGACCUGCGGGAAGGACUGGGAUUUUCCAGGACGGUGCCCUGGGUGUGGCACCUGCACACCGGCGGUGCUCUCCGGCGCUGUCCUGGCUCCUCGGCGCCCUGGGCUGCUCUGUGCGGGCGGGGCUGGGGUCGGGCUGCCCGGACACAGAAGGACCCACAGUCAGCGUGGUCCUGAGCCUCCCUGAGCCACCGACAUCGGCAGCUGACUCCAGUCGAAGGCUCUGAGAGACCCGAGGGGGCACAGCUGAGCCCUGACCCCGAGCUGAUAUGCACAGGACAGAGUGGCAGAGACGGGGCCACCAGGCUGGGUGGCCAGAGGGAACGAGACCCCGACGCACAAGCACGGGAGGGGACAGGCCGCCUGGAGGAGGCGGGCCGCUGGGGACCGAGGCUGAAAUUGCCCAGGAGCGGCGGGUCCUCUGCUCUGCCUGAGUCCCCAAGUCCGCGGCCUUCACCACUCCAGCAAGGACAGAGACACCGCCGCGCCUCACAUGGCUCAGAACUGGGUUUCCACCUCCCCGCAUAAUUCUGAAGCUGCCGGCAGGUGGGCUGGAGUUUGGGGACCACCAUCCCUGUCCCUCGGGCAAAGGUACCUGCCCCCUCUGUCCGAGUGAGCCCAGCCGUGAGCGGGUCCCUUGGUCUUCUGGGGACAUCUGCUCCCCGACGGCCCUCACAGUCUGGCCUGGUAAGAGCUUGGUGGACCUGGCUGCUGCUCGUUUUCACGGCUCGUGUUUGUAUCGCUGUGCCUGGG
rnacentral:lncRNA from 1 species